rnacentral:rRNA from 1 species
AUACGUAGGGAGCGAGCGUUGUCCGGAAUUACUGGGCGUAAAGGGUGCGUAGGCGGCAAGCCUAAGUCAGAUGUGAAAUCCCCGGGCUUAACUCGGGGGGUGCAUUUGAAACUGGCUAGCUUGAGUGCAGGAGAGGAAAGCGGAAUUCCUAGUGUAGCGGUGAAAUGCGUAGAUAUUAGGAGGAACACCAGUGGCGAAGGCGGCUUUCUGGACUGUAACUGACGCUGAGGCACGAAAGCGUGGGGAGC